rnacentral:rRNA from 1 species
CAGCCGCCGCGGUAAUACCGGCGGCCCGAGUGGCGGUCACUAUUAUUGGGCUUAAAGCGUCCGUAGCCGGGUUGGGAAGUCCUCCGGGAAAUCUGGCCGCUUAACGGUCAGAAUGCCGGAGGAUACUCCCAGCCUAGGGAGCGGGAGAGGCCGAGGGGAUUCCCGGAGUAGGGGUGGAAUCCUAUAAUCCCGGGAGGACCCCCUGUGGCGAAGGCGCUCGGCUGGAACGCGUCCGACGGUGGGGGACGAAGGCCAGGGGAGCAAACCGGAUUAGAUACCCGGGUAGUCCUGGCUGUAAACGAUGCGGACUUUGUGUCGGACAAGCUAUGAGCUUGUCCGGUGCCGGAGGGAAACCGUUAAGUCCGCCGCCUGGGGAGUACGGCCGCAAGGCUGAAACUUAAAGGAAUUGGCGGG